AACCUCCUCCUUCACUCCUCCGCCUCUCUCGGUUUCGUGCCGCUGCCGCCGCUGCAUAAAUCAAUUCAAGGAGUAUCAUGGUUAAUCAAAAAUCAAUUUUGUUGGUCACCAUUUUGUUGAAUGUCGUAGUAAGCACAUCAGCAAGGUCUUGUCAAUCCGAUAAACGUUGCGAAUCUCUAGCUCCUAGUUUGCAAGAAGAUGUGAAGAUUGAUUUUACGGUAUGUGAAAAGGAUGAAGACUGCCCAGUGUGCGUAAAAGGUAGAAGAAUAUGCACCCAGGGCUUCUGCGGUUGUGCUUAACCAUUAGACAAAAAUUCCUUGUAAAUGAGGGCAAUUAUACUGAUUUUGGUUUAAU